CAGCCGCCGCGGGAAUACAGAGGAUGCAAGCGUUAUCCGGAAUGAUUGGGCGUAAAGCGUCUGUAGGUGGCUUUUCAAGUCCGCCGUCAAAUCCCAGGGCUCAACCCUGGACAGGCGGAGGAAACUACCAAGCCGGAGUACGGUAGGGGCAGAGAGAAUUUCCAGUGGAGCGGUGAAAUGCGUUGAGAUCGGAAAGAACACCAACGGCGAAAGCACUCUGCUGGGCCGACACUGACACUGAGAGACGAAAGCUAGGGGAGCAAAUGGGAUUAGAUACCCCGGUAGUCCCUGUCUCUUAUAA
rnacentral:rRNA from 1 species